rnacentral:rRNA from 1 species
UACGUAGGGGGCUAGCGUUGUCCGGAAUCAUUGGGCGUAAAGAGCGCGUAGGCGGCCAGAUAAGUCUGGUGUGAAAGUCAAAGGCUCAACCUUUGAAUGCCGCUGGAAACUGUCUGGCUAGAGUCCGGGAGGGGCGAGUGGAAUUCCUGGUGUAGCGGUGAAAUGCGCAGAUAUCAGGAGGAACACCAAUGGCGAAGGCAGCACUCUGGGACGUGACUGACGCUGAGACGCGAAAGCGUGGGGAGCAAACAGG